CCUACGGGGGGCAGCAGUGGGGGAUAUUGCACAAUGGGGGAAACCCUGAUGCAGCGACGCCGCGUGGGCGAAGAAGUAUUUCGGUAUGUAAAGCCCUAUCAGCAGGGAAGAAGAAAUGACGGUACCUGAGUAAGAAGCACCGGCUAAAUACGUGCCAGCAGCCGCGGUAAUACGUAUGGUGCAAGCGUUAUCCGGAUUUACUGGGUGUAAAGGGAGCGCAGGCGGCACGGCAAGCCUGAUGUGAAAGCCCGCGGCCCAACCGCGGGACUGCAUUGGGAACUACCGGGCUGGAGUGCCGGAGAGGUAGGCGGAAUUCCUAGUGUAGCGGUGAAAUGCGUAGAUAUUAGGAGGAACACCAGUGGCGAAGGCGGCUUACUGGACUGUAACUGACGUUGAGGCUCGAAAGCGUGGGGAGCAAACAGGAUUAGAUACCCUUGUAGUC
rnacentral:rRNA from 1 species